GGGUGAUCUGGCUGUGACAUCUGCGACCUCACUGAUCACUAGUGUUGAAACAUGGCUGGCUAUCCUCUUUUACCACCCCAUGUGCAGUGCUUCCAAAGCUGAACCCUGGAUGGGAGAGGAGGAUCUUCUCCAAUAGAGGAGAAUCAUUCUUAGGUCAAGAGUAUUAGAGUAGCAAUGCUCCUCUGUCAGAACCUUCAAGCAAGUUCUCAAAGUCCUUUUGUAAGAGAACGUGUAAUUGAGCUUUCAAGACUGCAGACACAUCCAAAUAAGGAGUUGCAAAUGGCAAUCUGUCUUUUUUU
ensembl:misc_RNA 7SK 7SK RNA